GGUUCACUAAGGGGAAAGGGAAUGACUAAGAGAAAGGGAAAGAGGGAGAAUGGAAAGCAACUCCCUUAUUUAUUAUAGGUUGUUUGUUCACACUUCACAAAGGGGAAAGAGAAUGAAGAUUGAACUUCACAUGGAAGUACCAACUCACUGCCAACAACGAAACUCCAACCACCCUCCUCCCAGCGGCGCCGAGCUCCCCCACCCCCUUCGUCGGUCCCCACCCCUCCCUGCCGACAACCUACUCCCCUCUAAUUUCCUGCAACACCGCCGCCCUCCCUCGUCCACCGCACCGCCGCCCCUUUUCUUUCUAAUUGUUGAUGUUGUCCCUCUUCUCUCUCUUUUUUAAGUGAUUUUUUUUAUAGAUCUAGUAGGUUGUUUGUUAAUAGAGUGUCAUAUGUUGUUUUUUGGGUGUUUGGGGGUUGUUUAUGGGUUUUUUUUUUGUUGAAAUGGUUAGGGUUUUUGGGUGGUUUUUGGAGUAGUUUUUGUAGUGGUUUUCAUGGUGGGUGUGAUGAUUUCGUGGGUAAUGAGUGGUGAACGUGGUGGGUGAGGGUUAAUUCCAAUGAAGUUGGGUAAUUGGGGAAGAUGAAUUUUUUUUUCCGGGUGGAUUUGGGUGGUUUCGGUGGUUUUAGGUGGUUUCGAUGGUGGUUUGUUGGUAGCAGCAGGGGUGUCGACGAUGUUAUGGUGGUUCUGAUGGUGUUAGGGUAGCUGGAUGGUGUCUAGGUGGUGGUUCUGAUGGUGUCAGGGUGGCUGGAUGGUGUCUAGGCGGUGGUUCUAGUGGUGUCAGGGUGGUUAGAUGGUGGCUAGGCGGUGGUGUCGGUAGUCGGUUGGUGUUUUCAAGAGUGGUCAAGGUAGUUAGAAAUUUGGUCAAGGUAGUUGGGUGAAGAGGAAUUUGGGGGUUUGAGUGAUUCCCUUGGGGGGGGGGGAAUGAAGAUAGAGGAAAAUGGGGUAAUGGGAGGGGUAAAGGGAAUGAUUGAUUUUGUCUAUCAAACAUCAACAAAGGGAUUCAUGGUAGUUGAUUCCCAUUCCCUUUGUUGAAUACCCCCAACCAAACGACCCCUUAGAGUAAUGAAGCUUUAGAUAUAGAGAUAUUAGCCAGUGGCGGAUCCAAGAUUUUCGAACUUAUGAGUCACCAUCAAUAAUUGAUCACUUGUUUCAAUCCAAAAAUUAUAUA